rnacentral:rRNA from 1 species
AGCGAACGUUAGCGGCAGGCCUAACACAUGCAAGUCGAGCGAGAAAAGGGGCUUCGGCUCCUGAGUAAAGCGGCGGACGGGUGAGUAACACGUGGGUAAUCUGCCCUUCGGUGGGGGAAAACAGUCCGAAAGGAAUGCUAAUACCGCAUACGUCCUACGGGAGAAAGCAGGGGAUCUUCGGACCUUGCGCUAAUAGAUGAGCCUAAGUCGGAUUAGCUAGUUGGUGGGGUAAAGGCCUACCAAGGCGACGAUCCGUAACUGGUCUGAGAGGAUGAUCAGUCACACGGGAACUGGGACACGGUCCAGACUCCUACGGGAGGCAGCAGUGGGGAAUAUUGGACAAUGGGCGAAAGCCUGAUCCAGCCAUGCCGCGUGUGUGAAGAAGGUCUUCGGAUUGUAAAGCACUUUAAGUUGGGAGGAAGGGUUGUAGAUUAAUACCUUGCUGUUUUGACGUUACCGACAGAAUAAGCACCGGCUAACUCUGUGCCAGCCGCCGCAGUAACAC